rnacentral:rRNA from 1 species
GAAUUUUAUAUAAAAUUUUUAUAAUUUUAGUAUAUAUAUAUAAUAAAAAUUUUAUAUUUAAUUGGGAGGAUGGUUAAAUUUUAGUAACUUUAAUUAAAAUAUAAAAUAUUAAUUAAUAUAUUAAAGAAUGAUAAUUUAAUAAUUAAAAGAAUUAAUUACCUUAGGGAUAACAGCAUAAUAUUUUUGGAAAGAUCAUAUUUAUAAAAAUGUUUGU